rnacentral:rRNA from 1 species
ACGAGUGGCGAACGGGUGAGUAAUGUAUCGGAACGUACCAUUCAGUGGGGGAUAACGUAGCGAAAGUUACGCUAAUACCGCAUAUUCUGUGCGCAGGAAAGCAGGGGAUCGCAAGACCUUGCGCUGAUUGAGCGGCCGAUAUCAGAUUAGCUAGUUGGUGGGGUAAAAGCUCACCAAGGCGACGAUCUGUAGCGGGUCUGAGAGGAUGAUCCGCCACACUGGAACUGAGACACGGUCCAGACUCCUACGGGAGGCAGCAGUGGGGAAUUUUGGACAAUGGGGGCAACCCUCAUCCAGCCAUGCCGCGUGAGUGAAGAAGGCCUUCGGGUUGUAAAGCUCUUUCGGCCGGGAAAAAAUCGCAUGGGUUAAUACCCUGUGUGGAUGAUGGUACCGGAAUAAGAAGCACCGGCUAACUACGUGCCAGCAGCCGCGGUAAUACGUAGGGUGCGAGCGUUAAUCGGAAUUACUGGGCGUAAAGCGUGCGCAGGCGGUUUUGUAAGACAGGCGUGAAAUCCCCGGGCUCAACCUGGGAACUGCGCUUGUGACUGCAAGGCUAGAGUAUGGCAGAGGGGGGUGGAAUUCCACGUGUAGCAGUGAAAUGCGUAGAGAUGUGGAGGAACACCAAUGGCGAAGGCAGCCCCCUGGGCCAAUACUGACGCUCAUGCACGAAAGCGUGGGUAGCAAACAGGAUUAGAUACCCUGGUAGUCCACGCCCUAAACGAUGUCAACUAGGUGUUGGGAGGGUAAAACCUUUUAGUACCGGAGCUAACGCGUGAAGUUGACCGCCUGGGGAGUACGGCCGCAAGGUUAAAACUCAAAGGAAUUGACGGGGACCCGCACAAGCGGUGGAUGAUGUGGAUUAAUUCGAUGCAACGCGAAAAACCUUACCUACCCUUGACAUGUCCAGGAGCCUGAAGAGAUUUGGGUGUGCCCGAAAGGGAACUGGAACACAGGUGCUGCAUGGCUGUCGUCAGCUCGUGUCGAGAGAUGUUGGGUUAAGUCCCGCAACGAGCGCAACCCUUGUCGUUAAUUGCCAUCAUUCAGUUGGGCACUUUAACGAGACUGCCGGUGACAAACCGGAGGAAGGUGGGGAUGACGUCAAGUCCUCAUGGCCCUUAUGGGUAGGGCUUCACACGUCAUACAAUGGUCGGUACAAAGGGUUGCCAACCCGCGAGGGGGAGCCAAUCCCAGAAAGCCGAUCGUAGUCCGGAUUGCAGGCUGCAACUCGCCUGCAUGAAGUCGGAAUCGCUAGUAAUCGUGGAUCAGCAUGUCACGGUGAAUACGUUCCCGGGUCUUGUACACACCGCCCGUCACACCAUGGGAGCGGGUUCCGCCAGAAGUAGGUAGCCUAACCGCAAGGGGGGCGCUUACCACGGCGGGGUUCGUGACUGGGGUGAAGUCGAAACAAGGUA